rnacentral:rRNA from 1 species
GAUUAAGUUAUUAAGGGCGCACGGUGGAUGCCUUGGCACUAGAAGCCGAUGAAGGACGUUACUAACGACGAUAUGCUUUGGGGAGCUGUAAGUAAGCUUUGAUCCAGAGAUUUCCGAAUGGGGAAACCCAGCAUGAGUUAUGUCAUGUUAUCGAUAUGUGAAUACAUAGCAUAUCAGAAGGCACACCCGGAGAACUGAAACAUCUUAGUACCCGGAGGAAGAGAAAGAAAAUUCGAUUCCCUUAGUAGCGGCGAGCGAAACGGGAAGAGCCCAAACCAACAAGCUUGCUUGUUGGGGUUGUAGGACACUCUAUACGGAGUUACAAAGGACGACAUUAGACGAAUCAUCUGGAAAGAUGAAUCAAAGAAGGUAAUAAUCCUGUAGUCGAAAAUGUUGUCUCUCUUGAGUGGAUCCUGAGUACGACGGAGCACGUGAAAUUCCGUCGGAAUCUGGGAGGACCAUCUCCUAAGGCUAAAUACUCUCUAGUGACCGAUAGUGAACCAGUACCGUGAGGGAAAGGUGAAAAGCACCCCGGAAGGGGAGUGAAAUAGAACCUGAAACCGUGUGCUUACAAGUAGUCAGAGCCCGUUAAUGGGUGAUGGCGUGCCUUUUGUAGAAUGAACCGGCGAGUUACGAUUUGAUGCAAGGUUAAGCAGUAAAUGUGGAGCCGUAGCGAAAGCGAGUCUGAAUAGGGCGUUUAGUAUUUGGUCGUAGACCCGAAACCAGGUGAUCUACCCUUGGUCAGGUUGAAGUUCAGGUAACACUGAAUGGAGGACCGAACCGACUUACGUUGAAAAGUGAGCGGAUGAACUGAGGGUAGCGGAGAAAUUCCAAUCGAACCUGGAGAUAGCUGGUUCUCUCCGAAAUAGCUUUAGGGCUAGCCUCAAGUGAUGAUUAUUGGAGGUAGAGCACUGUUUGGACGAGGGGCCCCUCUCGGGUUACCGAAUUCAGACAAACUCCGAAUGCCAAUUAAUUUAACUUGGGAGUCAGAACAUGGGUGAUAAGGUCCGUGUUCGAAAGGGAAACAGCCCAGACCACCAGCUAAGGUCCCAAAAUAUAUGUUAAGUGGAAAAGGAUGUGGCGUUGCCCAGACAACUAGGAUGUUGGCUUAGAAGCAGCCAUCAUUUAAAGAGUGCGUAAUAGCUCACUAGUCGAGUGACACUGCGCCGAAAAUGUACCGGGGCUAAACAUAUUACCGAAGCUGUGGAUUGUCCUUUGGACAAUGGUAGGAGAGCGUUCUAAGGGCGUUGAAGCAUGAUCGUAAGGACAUGUGGAGCGCUUAGAAGUGAGAAUGCCGGUGUGAGUAGCGAAAGACGGGUGAGAAUCCCGUCCACCGAUUGACUAAGGUUUCCAGAGGAAGGCUCGUCCGCUCUGGGUUAGUCGGGUCCUAAGCUGAGGCCGACAGGCGUAGGCGAUGGAUAACAGGUUGAUAUUCCUGUACCACCUAUAAUCGUUUUAAUCGAUGGGGGGACGCAGUAGGAUAGGCGAAGCGUGCGAUUGGAUUGCACGUCUAAGCAGUAAGGCUGAGUAUUAGGCAAAUCCGGUACUCGUUAAGGCUGAGCUGUGAUGGGGAGAAGACAUUGUGUCUUCGAGUCGUUGAUUUCACACUGCCGAGAAAAGCCUCUAGAUAGAAAAUAGGUGCCCGUACCGCAAACCGACACAGGUAGUCAAGAUGAGAAUUCUAAGGUGAGCGAGCGAACUCUCGUUAAGGAACUCGGCAAAAUGACCCCGUAACUUCGGGAGAAGGGGUGCUCUUUA